UUGACGGCCAUUCUGACAGUUUCAACAGCGUAUGAGAUGAGUAAUUGGAUAUUGUCAGUGGUGUAACUGUUGUUUGAAUUCUUUCUUUCUUUUCUUUUUUUCUUGAGAAAGACUCCUGGAAUCCCAGGCAUAACCUAUUCAUGGAUAAGUUGGAUUUCUUGGCCGAUGGCAAGGGAAUAAGUAGCAGAGAAAGGGCAAUCCCAAGUUAUCCUCAGUGGCAACCAUGUUUGAGAAAUUAUUCGGACAUCCAAACAAGCACGAAAUAAAAGUUACAGAGUACGUGCACAAGGUAAGAAGAAACAUAACCCUUGCUUAAGUAGUAACUCAACAAGUUUCUGAAUGCCAAUAGAAUUCCAGUCUUUGGCGAGUUCAAGCUUGCUUUGCAAUGUUAAGCUGGUGCUCAGGGGAGAUGUUUCAACCCAAAAGUCAAUUAAAGUUUAGACAAGGCAAACAACAAGGGGGGUUAUUAUAAUGAAAAAGUGGUGCUAAUGGAAACCUUUU
rnacentral:lncRNA from 1 species